AGUGAGUUGUCCUUUGUUUCGCAGUCCAUGAGGAAGCAUUCUGCAUCUGUCAUCUGACAUCUGAUGAGAAGAACAUUGAAUUCUUAGAGUCAUGGAGCUCCCCCUGUCAGGGAAGGCCAAGAUACAGUGUGUGUGUAACAGCAGGGCUGGGUGAAGAAAUCUUGCUGCUUGUCAUUCUUGGAGGGGUCUCCUAAUCUUGUGGACUAUAGAACUGCUUUAGUGGGUUGAAU
rnacentral:lncRNA from 1 species